UGCAGCGUAGGAAGACAUGCCUGGACGUGGGAAAGCUGCCAAGGACUGGUGAAGGAAGUUGCCGAACAUGAACGAAAGGGAUUUUCCUGCACAUAUGACAAGUAAUGUGUACGGAUUGUGACAGUGGUCCUCGUGGAAGGCGUCUUGGUGCCUCCUCUCGUGGGUUUCCUUGGAAGUCUUCAUCAGCUUCUUCAGAAGACAUUCCUUAACUUCAUGUUUAGAUGUCUUCAUGGACAUGGGACCUUUCCCAGACAUUUGACAAGCAAUGUCUGGACGUGCUAAGGGAAAGGUGGGCAGAGGAGGUGCCAGGCGUCACAGUCACGAAUGCGCUUCACAACAUCCGGAGAAACAGUGGUCCUCGCGGAAGGCGUCUUGAUGCCUCCUCUCGUUGUGUGUUACCUUGGAAGUCUUCAGCAGCUUCUACAGAAGAAAUUUCCUUGACUUCAUGGACAUGGGACCUUUCCCAGACAUUUGACAAGCAAUGUCUGGACGUGCUAAGGGAAAGGUGGGCAGAGGAGGUGCCAGGCGUCACAGUCACGAAUGCGCUUCACAACAUCCGGAGAAACAGUGGUCCUCGCGGAAGGCGUCUUGAUGCCUCCUCUCGUUGUGGGUUUCCUUGGAAGUCUUCAUCAGCUUCUUCAGAAGACAUUCCUUGACUUCAUGUUUAGAUGUCUUGAUGGACAUGGGACCUUUCCCGGACAUUUGCAAGUUGAAACAAGUUGGGAAGGAGAGUCAUCUCUCAGCAGCUUCCAGGAUCUUAUUGAUGCCAUCAAGCCCGGAUCAACUACGGCCACAAUGUUCAUGGUGGGACCUAUCCCGGUGAGAGGGUGUCCGAUGCUGAUCUCCACGGUGACGUCCAGAACGAUCGGUGCUCGUGUGUACGCCUUGCAAGAGGACAGGGAAUUGUUCUAAUGUGUCUUGGAAUGCGUUAGAUGGCAACAUGCUGCAGAUAUGGUCGCACUAACGUGCCAUUAGCCAUGAUAGAAAGUAAAUGAGUUGUGAGAUUGCAAUCAUUGCUUUAACCGACCGAACGAUACCCUCUGUACGUCCUGAGGGUAUUGUUGGAAGGACUGAUCACAACUUCUUGGUUGGUGUUAAGGUGCUUGAGUGGGUUUUGUUGACAUGCUGAGUUUUGUAGCCAGUAGGUGGUCAGGACAUUUUGUGAAUGGAGGCUCCUUUUGCACCUGUUUUAUGUUUUAUAUUUCUGUUUUAUGUCGUGGUCAGUGGUAGUCGGGAACCUUUCUAGUGUGGUUUUGAAAUGUUUAUACUUUGCAUUCAUCAAUUUUGCCAAUAA